rnacentral:tRNA from 1 species
CGGGGCGUAGCGCAGCCAGGUAGCGUGCUUCCUUGGGGUGGAAGAGGUCGUGAGUUCAAAUCUCGCCGUCCCGACCA